AACCAGGUGUUGACACGUUAGCAAAAAUGCCCCCUUCAAAAACUGACACGUAUAGAAAAAAAAGAUAACUUAAAAUGCUGCCACGUUUACAAAUAAGAAGCGAAAAAUUAUAUUGCUUGACAACUUGACACCGUUUGAUGUUCUAUGAGUAUAUAAAAAAAAACGGUUAAAAUAAAAUUAAAAAAAAAAAAAAAAGGCUUGCAACUAAAAAAACACGAGCGAUACAGAGAAAGGGAAGGAGAGAAAAAAAAAAGCUUGCGAUACAGGGGAGAGACAGAGUUCGUGCGGCCGGCCAUCACCAUCCCUUGCCAGACUUAGACCACCGGAACCGGCACCGGUAACCUAAAGGUGCAUGCAGGAAUUGAGAUGCGGAGAUAGAGAGAACUAGCACCGGUAUUUGGGUUACAUUUGGUUUGGAUUUUAAAAGAGAAGAGAGAAAUUACUGAAAGGAUGCGUUGUUAAUAGUGAUGCGUUGUUAAGGCACAGGGAAGAAAGACAGACAUCUCAGGGCCGGUACUACCGUCGGCCUCCAACCACAAGGAAACUUUAUUUCUUCUGCCGUCGUACCGCCAGAGCUAUUAUUGGGUGGAAAGGCCAAGCCUUUGAGGCAACCCAAAGUCUAAGAAGAAUGGUCGUUUACUUAUUUAGUUUCCAAACAAUGGUGCCUGUUCAUUUUGCGGAUUGAACAGUUUCAGUAUAUAUGUUUCAGACCCACAUAACUUUUCAUCCCUAAAGAUGCUGCCUAAACUAACAACGCUUCAAUCAAAGCUAAAUAACUUCCCUUAAGCGUUAAUACCAAUUCAUUGCUUCAAACACCACUGUCUCUUAAAACCCAUAUUUCUUCUUCUUCGUUGCACAAUCUCAAUAAACACUUCAAAACCACAGAAAUCCCCACUCAAAUCUAGGAGACUGCCUCUCAUGGCAUUUACAAGGUCUGGGUGGGCAUUUACAAUGUUUGCUUAGAGGUCGUGUUCUCCUUUUUUUGCAAGCCAACAAAUGGGAUAUUAGAACAGAUCAAGAUUCAAGGACUAAGAUGGUUCCGUUGGAGAGAGGCUACGGUGAUUUUCUCUUAAUGGGAUUUCGCCAGAAUCAUCUGACUGUUGGGAAGACAAUACAUUAUGCUAGAUUAUUUUUGUCCAAGAUCAGUAUUAUGCGGAAGCAGCAUGUUGAUUCGUAUCAAAAAGAGUGGUGGAUUGGGUUCCAAUAACUUUCUUUUUGGGGACCUGAAUUUGAAGCAAAGAAAUAGAAAGAGAAUGUGUAAUACAGAAUUCAAUUUAAUUUUCAGUUUCUGUUUUCCAUCCUACCUGUUUUGCUGUUUUUGAAGAGUGAUUGAAAUUGUAGAUCUUUGAAAUCUGAAAGUGUAAUGUUUUUUAUACAAAGUUGAUUAUCUCUUAGAUUUUAGUUAAUAUUCCA